GGGCUCUGGUCUAAAGUAGUGCACUAUAUAGGGAAUAGGGCUCUGGUCUAUAGUAGUGCACUAUAUAGGGAAUAGGGCUCUGGUCUAUAGUAGUGCACUAUAUAGGGAAUAGGGCUCUGGUCUAAAGUAGUGCACUAUAUAGGGAAUAGGGCUCUGGUCUAUAGUAGUGCACUAUAUAGGGAAUAGGGCUCUGGUCUAUAGUAGUGUACUAUAUAGGGAAUAGGGCUCUGGUCUAUAGUAGUGCACUAUAUAGGGAAUAGGGCUCUGGUCUAUAGUAGUGCACUAUAUAGGGAAUAGGGCUCUGGUCUAUAGUAGUGUACUAUAUAGGGAAUAGGGCUCUGGUCUAUAGUAGUGUACUAUAUAGGGAAUAGGGCUCUGGUCUAUAGUAGUGCACUAUAUAGGGAAUAGGGCUCUGGUCUAUAGUAGUGCACUAUAUAGGGAAUAGGGCUCUGGUCUAUAGUAGUGUACUAUAUAGGGAAUAGGGCUCUGGUCUAUAGUAGUGUACUAUAUAGGGAAUAGGGCUCUGGUCUAAAGUAGUGUACUAUAUAGGGAAUAGGGCUCUGGUCUAUAGUAGUGUACUAUAUAGGGAAUAGGGCUCUGGUCUAAAGUAGUGUACUAUAUAGGGAAUAGGGCUCUGGUCUAUAGUAGUGUACUAUAUAGGGAAUAGGGCUCUGGUCUAUAGUAGUGUACUAUAUAGGGAAUAGGGCUCUGGUCUAUAGUAGUGUACUAUAUAGGGAAUAGGGCUCUGGUCUAUAGUAGUGUACUAUAUAGGGAAUAGGGCUCUGGUCUAAAGUAGUGUACUAUAUAGGGAAUAGGGCUCUGGUCUAAAGUAGU